rnacentral:rRNA from 1 species
UAGGGAAUAUUGGACAAUGGGGGCAACCCUGAUCCAGCCAUGCCGCGUGAGUGAAGAAGGCCCUCGGGUUGUAAAGCUCUUUUGUUGGGGAAGAAAAGCAUGUGGUUAAUACCCAUGUGUUCUGACGGUACCCAAAGAAUAAGCACCGGCUAACUUCGUGCCAGCAGCCGCGGUAAUACGAAGGGUGCAAGCGUUACUCGGAAUUACUGGGCGUAAAGCGUGCGUAGGUGGUUUGUUAAGUCUGAUGUGAAAGCCCUGGGCUCAACCUGGGAAUGGCAUUGGAUACUGGCGAGCUAGAGUACGGCAGAGGGUAGUGGAAUUCCUGGUGUAGCAGUGAAAUGCGUAGAUAUCAGGAGGAACAUCCGUGGCGAAGGCGACUGCCUGGGCCAGUACUGACACUGAGGCACGAAAGCGUGGGGAGCAAACAGG